UAAAAAGUGUUGGCAGUGUCUCAAAUGAAG
rnacentral:piRNA from 1 species